rnacentral:rRNA from 1 species
GCUCAGAUUGAACGCUGGCGGCAGGCCUAACACAUGCAAGUCGAACGGUAACAGGAAACAGCUUGCUGUUUCGCUGACGAGUGGCGGACGGGUGAGUAAUGUCUGGGAAACUGCCUGAUGGAGGGGGAUAACUACUGGAAACGGUAGCUAAUACCGCAUAACGUCGCAAGACCAAAGAGGGGGACCUUCGGGCCUCUUGCCAUCAGAUGUGCCCAGAUGGGAUUAGCUAGUAGGUGGGGUAACGGCUCACCUAGGCGACGAUCCCUAGCUGGUCUGAGAGGAUGACCAGCCACACUGGAACUGAGACACGGUCCAGACUCCUACGGGAGGCAGCAGUGGGGAAUAUUGCACAAUGGGCGCAAGCCUGAUGCAGCCAUGCCGCGUGUAUGAAGAAGGCCUUCGGGUUGUAAAGUACUUUCAGCGGGGAGGAAGGGAGUAAAGUUAAUACCUUUGCUCAUUGACGUUACCCACAGAAGAAGCACCGGCUAACUCCGUGCCAGCAGCCGCGGUAAUACGGAGGGUGCAAGCGUUAAUCGGAAUUACUGGGCGUAAAGCGCACGCAGGCGGUUUGUUAAGUCAGAUGUGAAAUCCCCGGGCUCAACCUGGGAACUGCAUCUGAUACUGGCAAGCUUGAGUCUCGUAGAGGGGGGUAGAAUUCCAGGUGUAGCGGUGAAAUGCGUAGAGAUCUGGAGGAAUACCGGUGGCGAAGGCGGCCCCCUGGACGAAGACUGACGCUCAGGUGCGAAAGCGUGGGGAGCAAACAGGAUUAGAUACCCUGGUAGUCCACGCCGUAAACGAUGUCGACUUGGAGGUUGUGCCCUUGAGGCGUGGCUUCCGGAGCUAACGCGUUAAGUCGACCGCCUGGGGAGUACGGCCGCAAGGUUAAAACUCAAAUGAAUUGACGGGGGCCCGCACAAGCGGUGGAGCAUGUGGUUUAAUUCGAUGCAACGCGAAGAACCUUACCUGGUCUUGACAUCCACGGAAGUUUUCAGAGAUGAGAAUGUGCCUUCGGGAACCGUGAGACAGGUGCUGCAUGGCUGUCGUCAGCUCGUGUUGUGAAAUGUUGGGUUAAGUCCCGCAACGAGCGCAACCCUUAUCCUUUGUUGCCAGCGGUCCGGCCGGGAACUCAAAGGAGACUGCCAGUGAUAAACUGGAGGAAGGUGGGGAUGACGUCAAGUCAUCAUGACCCUUACGACCAGGGCUACACACGUGCUACAAUGGCGCAUACAAAGAGAAGCGACCUCGCGAGAGCAAGCGGACCUCAUAAAGUGCGUCGUAGUCCGGAUUGGAGUCUGCAACUCGACUCCAUGAAGUCGGAAUCGCUAGUAAUCGUGGAUCAGAAUGCCACGGUGAAUACGUUCCCGGGCCUUGUACACACCGCCCGUCACACCAUGGGAGUGGGUUGCAAAAGAAGUAGGUAGCUUAACCUUCGGGAGGGCGCUUACCACUUUGUGAUUCAUGACUGGGGUGAAGUCGAAACAAGGUAACCGUAGGGGACC